AUGUGAUUUACACAUUUAGAUAGUGGUUUAUUCAUAACCGGCUUGUACCGGAUAGUUUAUGGUUUGUAUCUUGUAACUUUACAAUUAGCAGAAACAUUAUUGAUAUUUCCAAAUCCUCUCAUCGUCGAGCUGAAUUUCUGUUCAAUCUCAAGUUUACCAAAAUGAUCAAAUCAUCUUCAUCGAGCCCUAAUCUCUUCGGGUAGAGUUUCAAUUUCUCUGGAUCGAGCUUGGAUUCUUCAGUUAUCAGCUUGAUUAUCAGAUUUGAGCUCUAUUUUUUUUUUUUCUUUUCGAGAUUGGAUUUCCUCGAUUGUUCUGAUUUGGUUAUGUGAAGCGAUUCGUUCGUCUUCAUUCUCCCUGAGUUAGAUUCUGGUGGAGGAGUACCAGUUUGUCAACAGAACUUGGAUUAUCACUUCACGAUCCUCAUCUAUCGCUUAUUCGAUAUCAAUGGUGAAACUGGAUUGCUAUUUUUAGUCUCGUACAGCUUCAUCGGAUUCGUUGAAGAUCUCUUCGCCAAAGGUUCGAGAUGAUCCGUUUGGUUCUUCCUCACCUCAUCAAAUUGCUUCUGAUUGUCCAGGCCAGAGUAAUUUUCGAGGUUCAACACCUGUAAUCACAUCUCCGAAGACUCGAGUGGAGCCUCACGGCUCAGUUUGCCGAGAAUUCAUGGUUCUCUCUCGGUUGUUCCACCGAUCAUAAUACAGCUGCUUCGAUGGUGAUUGCUCACACGGUUGGGAGUUACAUUGGUAAA